rnacentral:hammerhead_ribozyme from 1 species
ACACAGCGGACGAGUCCUAAAUAGGACGAAACACGCGUCAAACUGGAU